CGUAAACUCUGUGUUAGGGAGACCAGUACGUCGAUAGGCGGUACUGACGUACUACAGAAAGCACGCCUACUACGUGCAGCAGCGCGUAAUACGUAGUGCAAGCGUGUCGAAUAUUGGGCGUAAAGCGGCGCGGCAGGCGGUUUCUAAGUCUGAUGUUGAAAGCCCCGGCUCAACCGGGGAGGGUCAUUGGAAACUGGGGAACUUGAGGGCAGAAAGAAGGAGAGUGGAAAUUCCACGUGUAGCGGUGAAAUGCGUAGAGAUGUGGAAGGAACACCAGUGGCGAAGGCGACUCUCUGGUCUGUAACUGACGCUGAGGCGCGAAAGCGUGGGGAGCGAACAGGAUUAGAUACCUGGUAGUCACGCCGUAAACGAUGAGUGCUAAGUGUUAGAGGGUUUCCGCCCUUUAGUGCUGCAGCAAACGCAUUAAGCACUCCGCCUGGGGAGUACGGUCGCAAGACUGAAACUCAAAGGAAUUGACGGGGGCCCGCACAAGCGGUGGAGCAUGUGGUUUAAUUCGAAGCAACGCGAAGAACCUUACCAGGUCUUGACAUCCUCUGACAACCCUAGAGAUAGGGCUUCCCCUUCGGGGGCAGAGUGACAGGUGGUGCAUGGUUGUCGUCAGCUCGUGUCGUGAGAUGUUGGGUUAAGUCCCGCAACGAGCGCAACCCUUGAUCUUAGUUGCCAGCAUUCAGUUGGGCACUCUAAGGUGACUGCCGGUGACAAACCGGAGGAAGGUGGGGAUGACGUCAAAUCAUCAUGCCCCUUAUGACCUGGGCUACACACGUGCUACAAUGGGCAGAACAAAGGGCAGCGAAGCCGCGAGGCUAAGCCAAUCCCACAAAUCUGUUCUCAGUUCGGAUCGCAGUCUGCAACUCGACUGCGUGAAGCUGGAAUCGCUAGUAAUCGCGGAUCAGCAUGCCGCGGUGAAUACGUUCCCGGGCCUUGUACACACCGCCCGUCACACCACGAGAGUUUGUAACACCCGAAGUCGGUGAGGUAACCUUUGGAGCCAGCCGCCGAAGU
rnacentral:rRNA from 1 species